AGCAGCCGCGGUAAUUCCAGCUCCAAUAGCGUAUAUUAAAGUUGUUGCAGUUAAAAAGCUCGUAGUUGAAUUUCGGGGUUAGUAGAUUGGUCAUGCCUCUGGUAUGCACUGGUCUUACUGAUUCCUCCUUCCUGAUGAACCGUAAUGCCAUUAAUUUGGUGUUGCGGGGAAACUGGACUGUUACUUUGAAAAAAUUAGAGUGUUUAAAGCAGGCUAACGCUUGAAUACAUUAGCAUGGAAUAAUGAAAUAGGACGUUCGAUCUUAUUUUGUUGGUUUCUAGGAUUGACGUAAUGAUUAAUAGGGAUAGUUGGGGGCAUUAGUAUUCAAUUGUCAGAGGUGAAAUUCUUGGAUUUAUUGAAGACUAACUACUGCGAAAAGCAUUUGCCAAGGAUGUUUUCAUUAAUCAAGAACGAAAGUUAGGGGAUCGAAGACGAUCAGAUACCGUCGUAGUCUUAACCAUAAACUAUGCCGACUAGGGAUCGGAUGAUGUUAAUUUUUUAAUGACUCAUUCGGCGCCUU
rnacentral:rRNA from 1 species